GAAAAGAUGAGAAAAAAAUGAUGGCAUCAUCUUUCUUAUUCAAGAAUCCCCUGUCACUCUCAUUUCAUCUUCUCCAAACUUUUGCUUUUGUCCCAAACAUGCCCUUCCACCAUUGUUGAGCAAAAUCAAGCAUAAAACCUUCCAUUUCUUUGAUGUUUCUUUAGUAAAAACUAUAGAUAAAGUUAGUAGCUACCGUAGUUUUUUGAGGAGAGCUUCCAUGGAGGAGUUCAAAGAGAGAGAAAGCUAGGGUUUAGUGGUAAUCUCAAGUAUUUAAGUAAUAUAGGUUUUAUAUGAAAUUGAAGAAAAAGAAAAGAAAGGAGAAGAUAAAACUGAAGGAAAAGGAAAGGAGAAAGCCAAUGAGUGAAAGACGAAGAAAAUACAUUAUCUCAACCAUUUUGUUGUACAAAUAGACUUGAAGAGUUAGAAUCGAGCUAGGAGAUCUCUCAUCUCAUCACAUCUCCAAGAGCUACAAGAGUAGGUAUAUAUUUUGGGUUAAAAUGGCAUGUACAUAGGUAGACCAAAUGUCUUCCCAAGUGUUAGGGACUAAAAUGCAAACUCUUAAAAUUUUACCUAUUUUGGUUCUAUAUGAAAUGAAUUAUUGAUAGCCAUAUGUAUGCAUGCAAUUGUGGUUUGAUAAUGUGAUAAUUUGGUUGAAUUGGAGUUGUUUUGAAUUGAAAA